rfam:Arabidopsis lyrata subsp. lyrata unplaced genomic scaffold ARALYscaffold_1, whole genome shotgun sequence.
AAACCGUGAUGAGGGCAGUCUCGUUGAUACUCCUUGAAUCGAACCCAAGCAGCUUUGAAUGCUUCUGCUAGUCCCUGAGUGAAUGUAGACAACUUUUUGCGCAGCUC